rnacentral:misc_RNA from 1 species
GGGGCAUAAUUUAAGUAGUGUUCAAUUGUUCAUAUUCACCGACCGUCAUCAAUACUUCUGCAACUUUCACCAUAGUUGCUUUAAUUUCCAGUUGAUAACAAAAAGCUCUACCAAUCUAAUCUUCUUUUGAAGUGUUUGGCGUCGAUGUUGUCUACACCUUGUUAGCAAAGAUAUAUAAAUGGCAAGGUUAAAUUACUAUCACUGCAAGUAAUUUC